GGUAGAUUCUUGAAUCCACCUCCUGGAAAGGAGGCAUAAACCUGCUGCCUGAGCUGUCUUAAGAGCUUGAUCAAGCAGUGAGCUGGCAAAAUGCCUCUGCUAUUCCUUCUGCUCUCAUGCUUGUCCCUUGGGAAGGGUUCCCCAUCCCUCUCAGCAGACAACAGACUGGGAAAAUGCCUGAUUGAUUUUGUAAUGUUUGGGAAAACCAGGUAGAUUGCUCUUCUGUGUGCUGAAGAGAUGCAAUGCAAGUUUUCACACCACUAAAAUCUCCUUCUGACAGUCAAUCCUCUUCCUGAGGCUGUGCCUGAGCACCCCAGUUAAUUCACUCCAGUUGAUACUACCAGCAUUUUACCUUUCUGCAUCUUCUCUCCAGUUGUAAUCAGCUGCUUUGCAAUCAUUUGUUUCAAAGUGAAAUUGAUGUAACAUUUUUUUCUUUAUUACCAUUUAUUUACUUGUCACUGUAUGCUGCCAUUCCAAAUACCAGCGAAAUGCAUGCCAGGGCCACAGAGGUAUUUUGGUGGUUCUUCAGAAGAGGAAAGAUGAUGGUAGGCAUUGGAAAAUAUUUUAUUGUAAGCCUUACUAAAAACAUUUGCAAACUAAACCAAAUAACAGAAGCUUACCAUGUUGCACAGCUGACCAUAUGAAUGUGAAAAUGUGAAUAAAAUUGUUUUGAAAACUCCAGUUCACAGAAAGAAUGGGAUGUAGUUUAGAAAUUCUCAGGGAAAAACUGUAGAGGGUUUCUCCAUACUCCAGCUGCGCUGAGAAACAUUGUGUGGUGAAGGGGUUAAAGCAGAGCAGGCAGCCCUACCACAGCAGGGGUAUUUUGUCACAUAAAAGCAUUACACUGCUAUAUUUAAAGGGCUUAUAUGGAGGAUCAAGACAUCCC